CCAAAGAAGCAUCGUUAAAGUCUCUCUUCUCCCUGUGAUCAUGUCUAAGUCAGAGUCUCCUAAAGAGCCCGAACAGCUGAGGAGGUUCUUCAUUGGAGGGUUGAGCUUUGAAACAACUGAUGAGAGCCGGAGGAGCCAUUUUGAGCAAUGGGGAACGCUCACAGACUGUGUGGUAAUGAGAGAUCCAAACACCAAGCGCUCCAGGGGCUUUGGGUUUGUCACGUAUGCAACUGUGGAGGAGGUGGAUGCAGCCAUGAAUGCAAGGCCACACAAAGUGAAUGGAAGAGUUGUGGAACCAAAGAGAGCUAUCUCAAGAGAAGAUUCUCAAAGACCAGGUGCCCACUUAACUGUGAAAAAAUAUCUGUUAAUGGCAUUAAAGAAGACACUGAAGAACAUCACCUAAGAGAUUAUUUUGAACAGUAUGGAAAAACUGAAGUGAUUGAAAUCAUGACUGACCAAAGCAGUGGCAAGAAAAGGGGCUUUGUUUUUGUAACCUUUCAUGACCAUGUAACCUUUGACUUCGUGGAUAAGAUUGUCAUUCAGAAAUACCACACUGUGAAUGGCCUCAACUGUGAGGUUAGGAAAGACCUGUCAAAGCAGAAGAUGGCUAGUGCUUCAUCCAGCCAGAGGUCGAAGUGGUUCUGGAAACUUUGGUGGUGGAAGCUACAACAAUUUUGGCAAUUACAACAAUCAGUCUUCAAAUUUUGGACCCAUGAAGGGAGGAAACUUUGGAGGCAGAAGCUCUCGCCCCUGUGGUGGAGGUGGCAGCCAAUACUUUGCCAAGCCAUGAAACCAAGGUGGCUAUGGCAGUUCUAGCAGCAGCAGUAGCUAUGGCAGUGGCAGAUUUUAAUUAGGAAACAAGGCU